GCAUAGUGCUGUGCCACCCUGAAGUCUGAUCCCAUCGGAUCUCACACUAAGCAGCACAGGGCCUGGUUAGUACUUGAAUGGGUGGCCUCAAAGGAGAACAAAAGAGUUGGGCG
rnacentral:rRNA from 1 species